AUUGAACGCUGGCGGCAGGCCUAACACAUGCAAGUCGAGCGGAGCGGCGGACGGGUGAGUAAUGCCUGGGAAUCUGCCUGGUAGUGGGGGAUAACGUCCGGAAACGGGCGCUAAUACCGCAUACUAUCAGAUGAGCCUAGGUCGGAUUAGCUCGUUGGUGGGGUAAAGGCCUACCAAGGCGACGAUCCGUAACUGGUCUUAGAGGAUGAUCAGUGACACUGGAACUGAGACACGGUCCAGACUCCUGCGGGAGGCAGCAGGGGGGAAUAUUGCACAAUGGGCGCAAGCCUGAUGCAGCCAUGCCGCGUGUAUGAAGAAGGCCUUCGGGUUGUAAAGUACUUUCAGCGAGGAGGCGUUACUCUCAGAAGAAGCACCGGCUAACUCCGUGCCAGCAGCCGCGUUAAUAC
rnacentral:rRNA from 1 species